AGUGAACGCUGGCGGCGUGCUUAACACAUGCAAGUCGAACGAGAACGGAUUAUAGCUUGCUAUAAUUGUCAGCUAAGUGGCGCACGGGUGAGUAAUGUAUAGGUAAUAUGCCUCUUACUAAGGGAUAACAAAUGGAAACGUUUGCUAAUACCUUAUACUCCUUAUUAACAGAAGUUAAUAAGGGAAAGAUUUAUUGGUAAGAGAUUAGCCUGUAUUGUUUCAGUUAGUUGGUGGGGUAAUGGCUUACCAAGACUAUGACACAUAUCUGGUUUGAGAGGAUGAUCAGUCACACUGGAACUGAGACACGGUCCAGACUCCUACGGGAGGCAGCAGUGGGGAAUAUUGCACAAUGGACGAAAGUCUGAUGCAGCAACGCCGCGUGGAGGAUGACACAUUUCGGUGCGUAAACUCCUUUUAUAUGAGAAGAUAAUGACGGUAUUAUAUGAAUAAGCACCGGCUAACUCCGUGCCAGCAGCCGCCGUAA
rnacentral:rRNA from 1 species